rnacentral:rRNA from 1 species
GAACGCGAAGAACCUUACCAGGUCUUGACAUUGAUGGACGAAACAAGAGAUUGUUUUUCUCCUUCGGGAGCCAGAAAACAGGUGGUGCACGGCUGUCGUCAGCUCGUGUCGUGAGAUGUUGGGUUAAGUCCCGCAACGAGCGCAACCCCUAUCUUAUGUUGCCAGCACGUAAUGGUGGGAACUCAUGAGAGACUGCCGCAGACAAUGCGGAGGAAGGCGGGGAUGACGUCAAAUCAUCAUGCCCCUUAUGACUUGGGCUACACACGUGCUACAAUGGAUGGUACAACGAGCAGCGAACUCGCGAGGGUAAGCGAAUCUCUUAAAGCCAUUCUCAGUUCGGAUUGUAGGCUGCAACUCGCCUACAUGAAGCCGGAAUCGCUAGUAAUCGCGGAUCAGCACGCCGCGGUGAAUACGUUCCCGGGUCUUGUACACACC